GUUGUCUAUGCUUUUCCGGUAGCCUUUGGCCUUUCUAGGUUUGCGUUUCCUAGUCGCCCAUUCUGCGCGCUGCGUGGUUUCGCGUUAGUCAACUAAUGUUUUGAAAGAGUCCCGAAGCUUCUUCGCCAUCUGUGGCGAUGUGGGAUGAGAAGUGUCGGCUGGAGGCAACGAUCUUUCUCUUCUCUUUUAGCACGUUUCUUCUCCUAAAUCCCGUUAGGGACAACGGAGAAGGAACGGGAUUUAAGAUUUGUAGGAUUUAGGGGCUGCUUGGUAGCAGGGUUUAUGCCUAUUAUGAGGCGGAGUUGCGCGAAAUCCAGCCAAACGGCCUUGAAAGCAAAACCAAAUCGUACAGCCUCUUAACCUAGUGUCCGAAACCCUCGUCUUUCUCCACCGAAUCGAAAUUCUAGAAACCCUAGACGAUCGAGAAGCGAGAAAGUUGCGAAAGCUGGCUGAAGAAGCAUCGACAGGACCAGUGACGUGUGAAAUACGUCCGAUUGCCGUUUUUACAUAAUCGGGGGUUUAAGAUAAAAUGGGGAGAAGCUGAUUUAAGAUUAUGUAUGGUUGUUCAUUGAAAACUGCAACACUUGUCCUAUUUUAUGAUUUUCAAUAUCAUGUACUGUUUGCCAUAUCAGUGGAUCUUUCAUGGUUCAGCUUUCCUUAUCCUUAGUCUGAUUUGAUUCUUAAACUUGAAAAUUUGAACUUGGAAGCUGCGUUAUAAGACGGUAAGAAAGCUGUCUCAAACGAGGCCUUAGUUUGUCUUUUUUGCGAUAUAGUGGGGCAUUAUCAUAGAAGACAUAAUUAGUGAUGUGUGGAGAGGAUUUCUGCAAAGUAUUUAAUAAAUCCUUUACUGUGGUAAUGCAAAGGAUUGAAGUUUGUUCUGCUCUUGCUCUACCUUGUAUUAGUUAUCGUUAUUCGUAGAGAAGAUCUAAGAUCUUCCUCUUUGGCUGUUUUUGAUGAUUAUGACUGUUAAAGCUAACAUACCGAUGCAGUCAUUGCAAUGGCUUCUUGAUCUCUA